GUGCCCUUAGCUCAGCUGGAUAGAGCGUCUGACUACGAAUCAGAAGGUCGGGAGUUCGAAUCUCUCAGGGCACG
rnacentral:tRNA from 2 species